rnacentral:rRNA from 1 species
CCUACGGGAGGCAGCAGUGGGGAAUAUUGGACAAUGGGCGAAAGCCUGAUCCAGCAAUGCCGCGUGAGUGAUGAAGGCCUUAGGGUUGUAAAGCUCUUUUACCAGGGAUGAUAAUGACAGUACCUGGAGAAUAAGCUCCGGCUAACUCCGUGCCAGCAGCCGCGGUAAUACGGAGGGAGCUAGCGUUAUUCGGAAUUACUGGGCGUAAAGCGUACGUAGGCGGUUAUUCAAGUCAGAGGUGAAAGCCCGGGGCUCAACCCCGGAACUGCCUUUGAAACUAGAUAACUAGAGUCUUGGAGAGGUUAGUGGAAUUCCGAGUGUAGAGGUGAAAUUCGUAGAUAUUCGGAAGAACACCAGUGGCGAAGGCGACUAACUGGACAAGUACUGACGCUGAGGUACGAAAGCGUGGGGAGCAAACAGGAUUAGAUACCCUGGUAGUCCACGCCGUAAACGAUGAUAACUAGCUGUCCGGGCACUUGGUGCCUGGGUGGCGCAGCUAACGCAUUAAGUUAUCCGCCUGGGGAGUACGGUCGCAAGAUUAAAACUUAAAGGAAUUGACGGNNGAGANGCGAGACGACACGAGGAGAG